rnacentral:lncRNA from 1 species
UGAGCCCUAUGGGGUGUAAUGCAGCCCUAUGGGGUGGGCAGUGGCCGCUAGGGGGCGCUGUGGGGUCAUUGAGCCCUAUGAGGUGGGAGGUGGCCGCUAGGGGGCGCUGUGGGACAUUGGGACCUAUGGGGUACAAUGCAGCCCUAUGGGGUGGGAGGUGGCCGCUAGGGGGCACUGUGGGGCAUUGAGACCUAUGGAGUGGAGGACUGCCGCUAGGGGGCGCUGUGGGGCGCUAUGGGGGGAUAUGGGGCGGCUAUAGGGUGGGGUGUGUGGGAAAUGGGGUGGACUUUGGGGUGUGUUAUGGGGUGGGGUGU